AACCCAUGAUGAGGACAUAGACGCUGCAGAUCCUUGAACUGCUCCCAAGCUUCAUAUAGAGAUUCACCAGGAUCUUAGGUGAAAGUAACUAUAGCAUGUCUCAUAUCUGCAGUU
rfam:Beta vulgaris subsp. vulgaris contig92507.1, whole genome shotgun sequence.